AAAGGGAUAUUUUACUCUGCUUAUGAGGAUCCAGCAUACUGUGCGUCACCAAGGAAGAGUGAGCAAUGAUGGCUCCAGCUAAAAAUGGCUUCAGAAAGGACAAGAACUCUCUUUCAAAAGCACUUGUGAACUAAGCUGAUAUACAGAAAUGUUAUUUUGAUGCAGCACAGAAUAGAUAUCCACUCUUAGGAUUUUAUUUGACCUGAAGACUACUUCUAAAAGGGAUUCUUCCAUGUUAAGCUUCAGGAAUCCAUACAGAUACAUUUUUGUGAAGGACAAAAUAUUUGGAGAUGAAGAAAGAACUCAA
rnacentral:lncRNA from 1 species